rnacentral:rRNA from 1 species
UACGUAGGGGGCGAGCGUUGUCCGGAAUUAUUGGGCGUAAAGAGCGUGUAGGCGGUUCGGUAAGUCUGCCGUGAAAACCUGGGGCUCAACCCUGGGCGUGCGGUGGAUACUGCCGGGCUAGAGGGUGGUAGAGGCGAGUGGAAUUCCCGGUGUAGCGGUGAAAUGCGCAGAUAUCGGGAGGAACACCAAUGGCGAAGGCAGCUUGCUGGGACGGUACUGACGCUGAGGCGCGAAAGCGUGGGGAGCAAACAGG